AAGUCGUAACAAGGUUUCCGUAGGUGAACCUGCGGAAGGAUCAUUAAUGAAAUGAUGUUUUUUUGGGGUUUUUAAAUUCCAAAAAAAUAAUUCACCUUUUGUGCACUGUUAAAAGAUAUACUUUGGUUAGAGCUUUGAUUUCAUUUUUUGAAAUCAACUUCUUGCUGACUCUAUCCUUUCUGAGGACAGUUGGCUAUGAAGCGGCCUACCAAGGUUUUUUAUCAAACACAUUUAAUUUAUCUGACCUAAACUAUUAUAAUAAAAUCAUAACUUUCAACAACGGAUCUCUUGGCUCUC
rnacentral:misc_RNA from 1 species